AAUCAACGCUGGCGGCGUGCCUCAGACAUGCAAGUCGAACGAUUAAAGCUCUCUUCGGAGAGUGUAUAGAGUGGCGCACGGGUGAGUAACACGUAAGUAAUCUACCUUUGAGUGGGGAAUAACCCGGGGAAACCCGAGCUAAUACCGCAUAAUGCAGCGGCACCGCAAGGUGACAGUUGUCAAAGGAGCAAUCCGCUUAAAGAGGAGCUUGCGGCAGAUUAGCUAGUUGGUAAGGUAAUGGCUUACCAAGGCUUCGAUCUGUAUCCGGCCUGAGAGGGCGGUCGGACACACUGACACUGAAUAACGGGUCAGACUCCUACGGGAGGCAGCAGUC
rnacentral:rRNA from 1 species